UCAAAAGCUAUUUCUGAGUAUUUAUGACUACAGCCUUGCUCCAUCUAUAAUUCUAUAUUUUGCUGGUUGUAUUGGCUGAACCGACGAAUUUCAUAUGAUAUUCAGUCCGAUUAUCCAAACAAAUUUUUAGAAAAGAGGUCAAAAAUAAAAAGACGAGGAAGAGAAAGACGGCAACGCGUGGCUCAUAUACUGUUUGCGGGACCCACUACAUGACAAGGACUAUUCGUCACAUUUU
rnacentral:lncRNA from 1 species